UUCCCAGGUGCCUGAGUGUUUCUCAUCAACAACAGCUGGGCCUUUUGUGUUUUCUCAAGAGGAACAGAGUGCUGGUGGCGUGUUUUCCCGCUGUACCAGGAAGAGAAGAUCAGCGUUUCUAAAACGUCCUCAUUCAGGGUGAAGUGGAAAUAUUCCAGCGCUGGGGAGUCAGUUCCAGACAAAACUCAGCAGAUAAUCUCAGCGCUUGCACCACGACUGCUAAUCCUGCACGCAAGACAGACAGCACGAAACGAACAGGAUGGCAGACAGCACCAAUCGAUGGCGGACAGUCUUUCCCACUGAGCAAAUCCUUCUCAACGCUGUGCUUCCAAGUGGCCAUUAGGAAUCAAUUCAUCUUGAUGAAGAAGCCAAAACUCAUUUGCCGUUCCCAAUUCUUGAGCAUGACCUCCAGAAAUUCCUGAAAUCAUUGAAAAUGACUCAGAGUAUUUCCCUCAGGGAGUCUGAUCCUGCUGACUCUUAAUUCUCUCCUGCUAACCUACCCCCACCACUGUCUCUGUUCCCGAGGGAUUUCGGGAUUUGGAGUUUUGCUACCCCACCCCCCUCCUCGUUUCUUUCUUUUUUUUUUAAACAGAAAAAGAAACCGAAGCCCCAGAGAUUAAAAGACUCGCUCAAGGUC
ensembl:lncRNA